UCCUCUUUUAAAAUUUAUUAUCCAUUUUUAAUAGGGACGUACCCUAAUCAGUCUUUGUUUCCCAUUUACCUAUAUAUCUCAGUGAUGUAUUUUUUUUAUGUAUUCAAAGUGAACAUUUUUUUGGUUAUAAGUUUUCAUCAAUUUCUGCUCAGACUUUCAAUAUCAAUUCUUAGUGACAAUGGCAAAGCACUAGGAAUACCCCUCGUUUGCUGGAAAUUUGCACCAGUACCACUGUGCAAAUAUUAACAGGAUUUUUUUUUAAGUCAUGGCUUUUGAUGAAUAACUCUGGCCUUUUGUCUGUCAUUGCUUUUAGGACUUAGAUUUCACACCUUUAGUAAUGUAAACACAUUUUUUUUUCAUUUAAAUACAACAGAUGAUUAAAAUUUGUGUUAGCUCAGUGCCUGAUUUUUCUUCAGUAGGGAUGAAGUACUCCUUACACAGGAAUUUAUCUUACUUAGCAUUAUAAAGUCCACAAGGAUAGAAAAGGCUGUAAUAAGGCAUAGGGAAGUAAAUUCCUUAUUUGUCCUCUACUCUUUUUGAGACUU